UUCCCUUUCGCUAUUUCAUCGAACUAUUUCUGUGUUGGGAUGUUAUGUGUUACAUUCGUUGAAGAAAAACUUUCUACUGUAGAACUGCGAAAUUACACGACCUAUGCAGGAUACGGUUAGUGACUGACUGCUACAGCUACUUUCCCUUCCUGCCCACAGCCGGUGCUCAGAAAUAUAUUGUUGUGGUGACUCAUGUUUUAUAUACAUACACUACGUGUCGUAUACCUUUACUAUGGCAACCCACUGAUAGGCAACAACUAGAGAUUACAUAACAGAAUUGUUUCUUUUUUUUUCUCUUUUAGCUAGUGUCUCUUUUUCUUGCACGUACACGAUGAAUGAGAACGUCCUUUACGUGACAUUGAUGAUAUUAUAUGUACAUUACCCAUGUUUGACGUUGCUCAACGCAGAAGGCUUGAAGAGAUUGAAUAAGGACUUGGUCGAUGUCGAUAAUCUAUAAAUACGAAAAUUGCAAAAGAAAAAAAAGCAUGCGGUGCAAAAAACAACUGAUGUACACCGAAGUAUACAAGGUAAAAGAAGAGGGAAACGGAAACGAAGGGAGAAAAUAGAUGGUGGAAAAAAUCUACCCGAGACAAGAAAAACUAAUUAAUAAAGAACGGAGUCUGAUUUAAUUAUGGGUGGAGGUGAUUAUCGGAUGCAUGAAAAUAAAAUUCACCUAUAAACUGAUUGCGAGUAACCGGUGGUUACCAGUCGCUGUAUCGCCGUAGGUAAACGGAAAAGGAAGAAACACAUUCACAUCCGAAAGAAGAAAACUGAAAAACCGUGGAAGAAUAUACUUUAUUAAUAAAAAGAGAGGAGAAAAAUCGAAACAAUAACUAACAAUAUCUUCGCGCACCACACUCACGAGAACGAGCGAUCCGCGCAACGACGAUUUCUACCAGAUACUGCAGCUCGCCGAGGAAAGUUAGCAGCCCGCUGCCACGCCGAGCGCGGAUUCUAUGGCGGAGGCAAUAAAGGAGGGAAGAAAGAGGAGGAGGGAAGAAAGAGGAGGCGGCGGCGGCGGCG
rnacentral:lncRNA from 1 species